CCAUGCGGUCUCUUUACUGUUCGAGCCUGAGGAAGACAGGCGCAAGUAACCCGCCAUGCCCGUUGCCAGGAGUUGGGUUUGUCGCAAGACAUACGUUACCCCCCGCCGUCCCUUCGAGAAGUCCCGUCUCGACCAGGAGUUGAAACUCAUUGGUGAAUAUGGACUGAGGAACAAGAGAGAAGUGUGGAGGGUCAAGUUCACUCUUGCCAAGAUCCGCAAAGCUGCCAGAGAGCUACUCACCCUGGAUGAGAAGGAUGCCAAGCGUCUCUUUGAAGGCAACGCCCUGCUCAGGCGUCUGGUGAGGAUCGGUGUGCUGGACGAGGGCAAGAUGAAGCUGGAUUACAUCCUGGGCCUGAAGGUUGAGGAUUUCCUGGAGAGGAGGCUGCAGACUCAGGUGUUCAAGCUGGGCCUGGCCAAGAGCAUCCACCAUGCCCGUGUGCUGAUCCGCCAGAGGCACAUCCGUGGCCCAAGCUUUGCCCCUUGCUGAGCGGGGAAUUAAAAGUAUUUCCGCAAGGUCAAUUCAGCAAUUAAGCUGUAUACCUUGUCAGUAAGACUGCCCAGACCCUAAGCAGAUGAGCGAGACUUGGGGCUUUAAUGCGGUCAUGGCUUUUGGGCUGUCAGUGUGCGCAAGCAGGUCGUGAACAUCCCAUCCUUUGUGGUGAGGCUGGACAGCCAGAAGCACAUUGACUUCUCCCUGCGCUCUCCAUACGGUGGCGGUCGCCCUGGUCGCGUGAAGAGAAAGAACGCCAAGAAGGGCCAGG